UUGAUCCUGGCUCAGGAUGAACGCUGGCGGCGUGCUUAACACAUGCAAGUCGAACGAACCUUCGGGUUAGUGGCGGACGGGUGAGUAACGCGUGAGAAUCUGCCCUCAGGAGGGGGAUAACAGUUGGAAACGACUGCUAAUACCCCAUAUGCCGAGAGGUGAAAUGAACUUCGCCUGGGGAUGAGCUCGCGUCUGAUUAGCUUGUUGGUGGGGUAAUAGCCUACCAAGGCUUCGAUCAGUAGCUGGUCUGAGAGGACGAUCAGCCACACUGGGACUGUGACACGGCCCAGACUCCUACGGGAGGCAGCAGUGGGGAAUUUUCCGCAAUGGGCGAAAGCCUGACGGAGCAACGCCGCGUGAGGGAUGGAGGCCUUUGGGCUGUAAACCUCUUUUCUCAAGGAAGAAGAUCUGACGGUACUUGAGGAAUAAGCCACGGCUAAUUCCGUGCCAGCAGCCGCGGUAAUACGGGAGUGGCAAGCGUUAUCCGGAAUUAUUGGGCGUAAAGCGUCCGCAGGCGGCCGUUUAAGUCUGUUGUUAAAUCGUGGAGCUCAACUCCAUCACGGCAAUGGAAACUGUUCGGCUUGAGUAUGGUAGGGGCAGAGGGAAUUCCCGGUGUAGCGGUGAAAUGCGUAGAUAUCGGGAAGAACACCAGUGGCGAAAGCGCUCUGCUGGGCCAUUACUGACGCUCAUGGACGAAAGCCAGGGGAGCGAAAGGGAUUAGAUACCCCUGUAGUCCUGGCCGUAAACGAUGAACACUAGAUGUUGGGGGAAUCUACCCCCUCGGUGUCGUAGCUAACGCGUCAAGUGUUCCGCCUGGGGAGUACGCACGCAAGUGUGAAACUCAAAGGAAUUGACGGGGGCCCGCACAAGCGGUGGAGUACGUGGUUUAAUUCGAUGCAACGCGAAGAACCUUACCAAGGCUUGACAUCCUGCGAAUCUCUAAGAAAUUAGAGAGUGCCUUCGGGAACGCAGUGACAGGUGGUGCAUGGCUGUCGUCAGCUCGUGUCGUGAGAUGUUGGGUUAAGUCCCGCAACGAGCGCAACCCACGUUUUUAGUUGCCAGCAUUCAGUUGGGCACUCUAGAAAGACUGCCGGUGACAAACCGGAGGAAGGUGUGGACGACGUCAAGUCAUCAUGCCCCUUACGCCUUGGGCUACACACGUACUACAAUGCUGCGGACAAAGAGUAGCGAUCUUGCGAAAGUUAGCUAAUCUCAUAAACCGUGGCUCAGUUCAGAUCGUAGGCUGCAACUCGCCUACGUGAAGGAGGAAUCGCUAGUAAUCGCAGGUCAGCAUACUGCGGUGAAUACGUUCCCGGGCCUUGUACACACCGCCCGUCACACCAUGGAAGUUGGCCAUGCCCGAAGUCGUUACUCUAACCUUUUGGAAGAGGGCGCCGAAGGCAGGGCUAAUGACUGGGGUGAAGUCGUAACAAGGUAACC
rnacentral:rRNA from 1 species